CCUACGGGAGGCUGCAGUGGGGAAUAUUGCGCAAUGGGCGAAAGCCUGACGCAGCGACGCCGCGUGAGGGAUGAAUGUCUUCUGAUCGUAAACCUCUGUCAGUAGGGAAGAACGGUCACUGUGCUAAUCAGCAGUGAAUUGACGGUAUCUGCAAAGGAAGCACCGGCUAAAUCCGUGCCAGCAGCCGCGGUAAUACGGAGGGUGCGUGCGUUAAUCGGAAUUAAUGGGCGUAAAGCGCUCGUAGGCGGUAUGUCAAGUCAAGGGUGAAAUCCCCGGGCAUAACGUGGGAACGGCCUUUGAAACUGGAAAACUGGAGUGUGGAAGAGGAAGGUGGAAUACGAGGAGUAGGGGUGAAAUGCGUAGAUAUAAGGAAGAACAUCAGUGGCGAAGGCAGCUAACUGGAACGUAACUGACGCUGAGGAGCGAAAGCGUGGGUAGCAAACAGGAUUAGAUACCCCGGUAGUC
rnacentral:rRNA from 1 species